rnacentral:misc_RNA from 1 species
UGGAAGUAAAAGUCGUAACAAGGUCUCCGUAGGUGAACCUGCGGAGGGAUCAUUACAGAGUUCAUGCCCUUACGGGUAGAUCUCCCACCCUGUGUUAUUAUCACCUUUGUUGCUUUGGCGGGCCGCCCGGCCUCGGCCAGGCUACCGGCUCCGGCUGGUAAGCGCCCGCCAGAGGACCCAAAACCCUGAAUGUUAGUGUCGUCUGAGUACUAUAUAAUAGUUAAAACUUUCAACAACGGAUCUCUUGGUUCUGGCAUCGAUGAAGAACGCAGCGAAAUGCGAUAAGUAAUGUGAAUUGCAGAAUUCAGUGAAUCAUCGAAUCUUUGAACGCACAUUGCGCCCCUUGGUAUUCCGAGGGGCAUGCCUGUUCGAGCGUCAUUACAACCCUCAAGCAAUGCUUGGUAUUGGGCCCCGCCGCUCACCCGGCGGGCUCUAAAAUCAGUGGCGGUGCCGUCGGGCUCUGAGCGUAGUAAUUCUUCUCGCUAUAGGGUCCCGGUGGAUGCUGGCCAACAACCCCCAAUUUUCUAUGGUUGACCUCGGAUCAGGUAGGGAUACCCGCUGAACCUAAGCAUAUCAAUAAGCGGAGG